rnacentral:rRNA from 1 species
ACCGACGUUUAAUAAGUGUUACACGUACAACGGGUGUAUUUACUUAUACACACCACACACACACACACACACACGAUACGCUAAAACAACGUAUCUCUUAUGCAACUGCAGACAGCUGCUUAAUACACUCACACUUGUCUUGAGUUGGCACAAAAUAUGUUGUUGACAUCUAUUUCCCACGUUGUUAUCUCAACACUCACACACUCAUUUAUGGAUAACACAGGGGAAGUGUGGGUAAUAUAUACGAGACACAUUACACACAUACACGCUCAACACAAAAUAUACUCACCACUCUGUGGGAGACUUUGUGCGCUUCUGUGCGCUGUUUAAAGUUUAACCGCAACAUGAGAGACAUUGAGCACGCAGUGUGUUUCCCCCCACACUACACUGAGAACACUUUGUGAAUCUUAUUUGCGAAACAUGUGAUACAAACAUCUACAGCAUCUAGUCACAGGGGUGGCGCGUGUAUUUUUGAACCUCCACAGCACUCACGCACACAGAAGAGAAUUUUCUGAUCCCAUAUAAAGAGCACCGCACAAUGAGAGACAGCUCUUAUAUCUCAAGAACACAGCGCGCGCGUAAAUUGCCCACUGUGAGUACCCUACAAUAUGUUGUCUCUUUAUUUACACACACACACACACACUAAAAAAACUAUAUCUUUGUGUAUAAACACACACUCUCUUUUAUAGAGACAGUGACAAGCUGUGAGUGUGUGUAUGUGUAUGACAAAUGUGUGACCUCGUCCCUUCUCACAGAGCUUGUGGGGGGUGUCUAUAUUUUGUGUGCGCUCGUGGAAUGCGGUGAGUUUAAACCACACACACACUGUGUGUCUGUGUGUGGUAACAC